CUUCAACAACAGUGCAGAAAUUAAAGGUUUAAUUUUUUUUUAUAUUUCUUUUUUGAAAAGAAAAGAAAGAAAAAAAAUUAAGCGGCGGCCAGACAACCGUAGGGAUGGCAUCCACAGAUGAAGGGUUUUUAAUCCCUUUUUGUCUACUGAUUCCAUCUCACAUUU
rfam:Gossypium hirsutum cultivar TM-1 chromosome 11, whole genome shotgun sequence